GAUGAACGCUGGCGGCGUGCCUAAUACAUGCAAGUCGAGCGAACAGACGAGGAGCUUGCUCCUCUGACGUUAGCGGCGGACGGGUGAGUAACACGUGGAUAACCUACCUAUAAGACUGGGAUAACUUCGGGAAACCGGAGCUAAUACCGGAUAAUAUAUUGAACCGCAUGGUUCAAUAGUGAAAGACGGUUUUGCUGUCACUUAUAGAUGGAUCCGCGCCGCAUUAGCUAGUUGGUAAGGUAACGGCUUACCAAGGCAACGAUGCGUAGCCGACCUGAGAGGGUGUUCGGCCACACUGGAACUGAGACACGGCCCAGACUCCUACGGGAGGCAGCAGUAGGGAAUCUUCCGCAAUGGGCGAAAGCUUGACGGAGCAACGCCGCGUGAGUGAUGAAGGUCUUCGGAUCGUAAACCUCUGUUAUUAGGAAAGAACAAAUGUGUAAGUAACUAUGCACGUCUGGACGGUACCUAAUCAGAAAGCCACGGCUAACUACGU
rnacentral:rRNA from 1 species